UUUUUUACAUUAGGCCGAUGGUAAUGUUUUUGGCUAUGACUACGUUUUUGUCGUAAGGUAGUAUUAAAUAAACUCUUUCCGAAUUGAUUUUCCUCUGAGUUCAGUAUUUUUGUGAUUUUACUUUUAACCAUGGAAAAUCCCAUCGCAGAUAUAAAGCCCCGACUGACAAAAUGUGAAAAUGUGAAAUAAUCCAAAAAAAAAAAAAAAAAAAAAAAAACCGUAUGAUAUAUGACAAAACAUAUAUAUGGACAGCAACCAACUUCAGCCACUGCAUGACAGGCAUCUUUAUAUCCUCUUAUUAGUUUAAAAAGAGGGACGAAAGAUACCAGAGGGACAGUUAAACUCAUAGACAGAAAAUAAACUGACAACACCAUGGUUAAAAAUAAAAAGACAAACAAUAGUACAGAAGACACAACAUAGAAAACUAAAGACUAAGCAACACGUACCCCAC
rnacentral:lncRNA from 1 species